rnacentral:rRNA from 1 species
GACGAACGCUGGCGGCGUGCUUAACACAUGCAAGUCGAACGGAAAGGCCCUGCUUUUGUGGGGUGCUCGAGUGGCGAACGGGUGAGUAACACGUGAGUAACCUGCCCUUGACUUUGGGAUAACUUCAGGAAACUGGGGCUAAUACCGGAUAGGAGCUCCUGCUGCAUGGUGGGGGUUGGAAAGUUUCGGCGGUUGGGGAUGGACUCGCGGCUUAUCAGCUUGUUGGUUGGGUAGUGGCUUACCAAGGCUUUGACGGGUAGCCGGCCUGAGAGGGUGACCGGCCACCUUGGGACUGAGAUACGGACCAGACUCCUACGGGAGGCAGCAGUGGGGAAUAUUGCACAAUGGGCGGAAGCCUGAUGCAGAAACGCCGCGUGCGGGAUGACGGCCUUCGGGUUGUAAACCGCUUUCGCCUGUGACGAAGCGGGAGUGACGGUAAUGGGUAAAGAAGCACCGGCUAACUACGUG